GCAUAUCAAUAAGCGGAGGAAAAGAAACUAACAAGGAUUCCCUUAGUAACGGCGAGUGAAGAGGGAAGAGCUCAAAUUUUAAAUCUAUCAUGUUGUACAUGAUCGAGUUGUAAUUUGAAGAAACGUUUUCUCGUACUUUAUGAUCAGUAUAAGUUCUCUUGGAACAGGACAUCAUAGAGGGUGAUAAUCCCGUCUGUUACUGAUUGUGAGGUUCGUUUAUGAUACGCUUUCAAAGAGUCGAGUUGUUUGGGAUUGCAGCUCCAAAUGGGUGGUAAACAUCACCUAAGGCUAAAUAUUUGCGAGAGACCGAUAGCGAACAAGUACCGUGAGGGAAAGAUGAAAAGAACUUUGAAAAGAGAGUUAAAAAGUAUGUGAAAUUGUUGAAAGGGAAACGAUUGAAGUCAGUCGUGCAGUCAUCAAUUCAGCGGUUAACAUUUUAUGUUUCCGUGUAAUUUGGUGUCUGUUGGUUAGCAUCAAUUUUGAUUGUUAUAAAAAGGUUAAGGGGAUGUGGCUCCUUCGGGAGUGUUAUAACCCUUAGCGUAAUGUGACGAUUAGGAUUGAGGUUUGCAACGAAUACCUUUUAGGGCAGUUUCACCUGGCCUCUCGUGGAAUUAUAGAUAGUUAAGAGCAUGCUCUUACUGUUUAUGAUUCUACGAAAAGGUUGGAGUGUAAAACUAAUUCGUUAAGGAUGUUGACGUA
rnacentral:rRNA from 1 species